CACGUCCUACCAUCGUCAUCAGACUACUCCCUCAUCCAACGGGAAAAAAACGAAAGGAAGAAGCGGUGAGAAAUCAAACCAGCACCGCCGUCUUCUCCUUCUCCCUCAUCCAACAAGAAAGAAAGAAAUGGAAUCGAACGCCUUGAUUUGGUUUCGGAAGGGGCUUCGGAUCCACGACAAUCCGGCGCUGGACCAUGCGCGGCGGGGAUCGAAGCACCUCUUCCCGGUGUUCGUGCUGGAUCCUCGCUACCUGGACCCGGACCCCUCCGCCUUCUCCCCCGGCUCCGCCCGCUCCGCCAUCAACCGCAUCCGAUUCCUCCUCGACUGCCUCUCCGAUCUCGACGCCACCCUCCGGACCCUCGGUUCUCGCCUCCUCCUCCUCCGAGGAGAUCCCGUCCCUGUUCUCUGCACCAUCUUGAAGGACUGGAAUAUUGGAAAGCUCUGCUACGAAUUCGACACAGAGCCAUACUCACUUGCCCGAGAUAAACAAGUCAAAGAUUUUGCCUCUAUAUCUGGAAUCGAGGUGUUCUCCCCUGUGAGCCAUACUCUUUUCAAUCCGGCAGUUGUUAUAGAAAAGAAUGGGGGACGGCCACCUUUGACAUAUCAAUCAUUUGUAAAGCUUGCUGGAAAACCCCCAACUCCACUUACUGAGACAUACUCUGAGCUUCCUCCUGUUGGAAAUGUUGAGGGAUAUGAAUUGCUAAGUGUUCCUGCAAUUGAAGAGCUUGGUUAUGGUGAUUUAAGUCAGGAAGAAUUUUCUCCAUUUCGAGGAGGUGAAACAGAAGCUCUUAAGAGAUUGAAGAAGGCUCUUGAAGAUAAGGAGUGGGUAGCAACUUUUGAGAAACCAAAGGGUGAUCCAUCUGCCUUUCUAAAGCCAGCAACCACUGUCUUAUCGCCAUAUUUGAAAUUUGGUUGUCUUUCUUCAAGGUAUUUCUAUCAGUGUCUCCAUAAUGUUUAUAAGACUGUAGGAAAGCACACUUCUCCUCCAGUUUCACUUGUUGGGCAGUUAUUAUGGCGUGAAUUCUUCUAUACUGUGGCCUUUGGAACACCUCAUUUUGAUCAGAUGAUAGGGAAUAAAAUCUGCAAGCAGAUUCCUUGGAGGGAUGAUGAAGAACUGUUUGUAGCUUGGAGAGAAGGUCGGACGGGAUAUCCUUGGAUUGAUGCCAUUAUGAUCCAGCUUACGAAGUGGGGUUGGAUGCACCAUCUAGCACGUCAUUCAGUUGCAUGUUUCCUAACUCGUGGUGAUCUGUUCAUUCACUGGGAAAAGGGGCGUGAUGUCUUCGAGAGACUACUGAUAGAUUCAGAUUGGGCCAUAAAUAAUGGUAAUUGGUUAUGGUUGUCUUGUUCAUCCUUUUUUUACCAGUAUAAUCGUAUCUACUCUCCGAUCUCUUUUGGGAAGAAAUAUGAUCCUGAUGGAAACUAUAUCCGGCAUUUUCUGCCCGUUCUGAAGGACAUGCCAAAGGAGUAUAUUUAUGAACCUUGGACCGCACCACUGAGUGUCCAAAAGAAAGCAAAUUGCAUAAUCGGGAAAGAUUAUCCAAAACGAGGGUUUACUAUUAAGGCCUGUUAUCAUUGUUAUCAUGAGAUUCAAGAAAGGAAGCAAGGUGGAAGUGUUGAACAAGAAGGAGGUGCCAUCAGGCUCCUGGUGGCCUGCUGAGAUAAUCUCUGGCAAUGGGCAUAACUACUAUGUUAGGUAUAAUACUUUUUUAGCAAACAUGUGUACAGCCGUGGAAAGAGUACCAAGAAAGGUCAUAAGACCAUGUCCCCCAUCAGCGAAGGGUCCAAGGGAUUGGGUCCCUGGUGACAUUCUUGAGGUCUUGGACAAUAACUCGUGGAAGCUUGCAGAGGUUUCAAGGGUUGUUGAUGAUGGUUACUUUUUUGUGAGGCUCCUUGGAUCUUGCGGGGAGUUCAAAGUCCACACAUCUGACCUCAGGCUGCGACAAUCUUGGCAAGAUGAAAAAUGGGUUGUGAUUCAAAAGGAUUCUGGAAAACCCAAUGAUAGAAUGAUGAGCAGUCUGUCAAAAGCAAAAAAAUUUAAAUGUCAGAUGCCUCAGCCAUAUCUAGAAAGUCAUAAUGCUCUUGUCUUCUCAAGAGGCACAAAGAAAAGGCCACGAGCCUCAUCGCAACCUAUCGAGAGAUGCAAUGAAGCUAGCAGAAAGUUGAGAGCAAUUGAGAAAGAU